rnacentral:rRNA from 1 species
AUGAACGCUAGCUACAGGCUUAACACAUGCAAGUCGAGGGGAAACGGCAUUGAGUGCUUGCACUCUUUGGACGUCGACCGGCGCACGGGUGAGUAACGCGUAUCCAACCUUCCCAUUACUGUGGGAUAACCUGCCGAAAGGCAGACUAAUACCGCAUAGUCUUCGAUGACGGCAUCAGAUUUGAAGUAAAGAUUUAUCGGUGAUGGAUGGGGAUGCGUCUGAUUAGCUUGUUGGCGGGGUAACGGCCCACCAAGGCGACGAUCAGUAGGGGUUCUGAGAGGAAGGUCCCCCACAUUGGAACUGAGACACGGUCCAAACUCCUACGGGAGGCAGCAGUGAGGAAUAUUAGUCAAUGGACGGAAGUCUGAACCAGCCAAGUAGCGUGCAGGAUGACGGCCCUAUGGGUUGUAAACUGCUUUUGUAUGGGGAUAAAGUUAGGGACGUGUCCCUAUUUGCAGGUACCAUACGAAUAAGGACCGGCUAAUUCCGUG